rfam:Gossypium arboreum cultivar AKA8401 contig_2337_7, whole genome shotgun sequence.
UUUAAAAAAUUUCAACCAUUUGUACGGUUAAAAAUUAACGUAACUGAUGGAAUAACCAAAUAACCACGUGUACCUCAUGCUGAUGUAUAAGAACCGGUUUUUAACAAUAGAAAUAGAUAAAAUUUUUAAUA